rnacentral:lncRNA from 1 species
UCGUAAUGAAAACUUUAAAGACUUGGAGGAAAAAAAAGAAAACAAGAAAGCAUCAGGCUAAGGAUACGAAUCAUCUUCGUCCUGCUCAUACUCCUCCUCAUCAUCAUAUUCCUCCAAGAAUCCAGUAAGGUGGAUGCUUCUGUCACCAGUCACCGAGAACUCAACGGUCUCGUCAUCGUCCUCAAACUCAAGAUUCAGAGGGCAACACUCGGUUUUGUUAGGCAGCAGUGAGCACAAGUAAAUGGGUGUGUUUCCUGCUACGGAACACUGGAUCACACUCUUCUCUUUGCCCAAACCCGAGCCUAGAGUUCCAUCAUCAUACUCCUCCAAGAAUCCAGAAAGGUGGAUGCUUCUGUCACCAGUCACCGAGAACUCAACGGUCUCGUCAUCGUCCUCAAACUCAAGAUUCAGAGGGCAACACUCGGUUUUGUUAGGCAGCAGUGAGCACAAGUAAAUGGGUGUGUUUCCUGCUACGGAACACUGGAUCACACUCUUCUCUUUGCCCAAACCCGAGCCUAGAGUUGCCUGAACGGUAGCAAAAGCAACACAACAUACAAACAUCAACAC